rnacentral:rRNA from 1 species
ACUGCUCAGUAACACGUGGACAACCUGCCCUUAGGUUGGGUAUAAACCCGGGAAACUGGGUAUAAUACCCGAUAGGUCUCGAUUGCUGGAAUGCAUCGAGAUUUAAAGCUCCGGCGCCUAAGGAUGGGUCUGCGGCCUAUCAGGUAGUAGUGGGUGUAGCGUACCUACUAGCCUACGACGGGUACGGGUUGUGAGAGCAAGAGCCCGGAGAUGGAUUCUGAGACACGAAUCCAGGCCCUACGGGGUGCAGCAGGCGCGAAAACUUUACAAUGCUGGCAACAGCGAUAAGGGAACCUCGAGUGCCAGGUUACAAAUCUGGCUGUCGAGAUGCCUAAAAAGCAUUUCAUAGCAAGGGCCGGGCAAGACCGGUGCCAGCCGCCGCGGUAACACCGGCGGCUCGAGUGGUAACCGUUAUUAUUGGGUCUAAAGGGUCUGUAGCCGGCCGGAUAAGUCUCUUGAGAAAUCUGGCAGCUUAACUGUCAGGCUUUCAGGAGAUACUGUCUGGCUCGAGGCCGGGAGAGGUGAGAGGUACUUCAGGGGUAGGGGUGAAAUCUUGUAAUCCUUGAAGGACCACCAGUGGCGAAGGCGUCUCACCAGAACGGACCUGACGGCAAGGGACGAAAGCUAGGGGCACGAACCGGAUUAGAUACCCGGGUAGUCCUAGCCGUAAACGAUACUCGCUAGGUGUCGGCCACGGUGCGACCGUUGUCGGUGCCGUAGGGAAGCCGUGAAGCGAGCCACCUGGGAAGUACGGCCGCAAGGCUGAAACUUAAAGGAAUUGGCGGGGGAGCACCACAACGGGUGGAGCUUGCGGUUUAAUUGGAUUCAACGCCGGAAAUCUUACCGGGACCGACAGCAAUAUGAAGGCCAGGCUGAAGACUUUGCCGGAUUAGCUGAGAGGUGGUGCAUGGCCGUCGUCAGUUCGUACUGUGAAGCAUCCUGUUAAGUCAGGCAACGAGCGAGACCCCCACC